rnacentral:lncRNA from 1 species
CAAAUCGAUCAUCUACCGAUCUGACUUACCAACCCUACUUUGCGAGUCCGAAAAUGCUGGCAUGCGGGUCACUCACUCCGGACCGCUUUCAAUCAAUUUCAUCUUGCUCCAGCUAGUGACUGACCUGGAUAUCAACAUCAGCCAAAUAACAAGCGAUCAAGUUAGGUUGCUAUGCAGUCAUGUCAAGUCACAUCAAAUCGCAUCAUCCUGAGGUCAUACCCUAAGCAUGCUGCUUCGUGCCG